GUAUCUAGCUUUAGUUCAAACCUAGAUCAAGUUAUCAGAAAGCCAUAUCCAGGAUGAGUGAACCAAAAAGAAAUGGAAACAAAGUCAAAAGUGGACAUGAAAGAAAAGUUCACAUACCAGAAAGUGACGCAGAAAAACAUGAAGACGUAUCAAAGAGUAUCAAAGAAAAACAUGAAGAAGUUCAACGAGUGUCAGAAUCCGGUGAGUUGCCUUCAAAAGCUGUACCAGAUGAUACAG